UUAGAACUCACAGCAAAUCCUAUUAAAAAUAGCUGUAAAGAGUUGUCUUGGAAGAAUUGGUCUUAAAGUCAGUGAGUUUAAAUAAGUGACUAAUGAAUGCAAGUGUUUGAUUAAAUCACCAAUUUUAGUUUUCUAUAUUUGUACUACUCUGACUUUUUUAUGUGUUGAUUUGCAUUUGCUGAUGUGACUUAGCAUUUUCUGUGAAGAUGGGGAUUGUUGCCUUUAUGCAUAAACUAUGUAAUAAUCAUAAUUUUUAUAUUUGACAGGUGUAUUUUCCAAGAUUUAUUUUCUGUUUGGAACAGGCAGGAGAUAGCAGAUAUGGGAAGGAGCAAAGAAAUAUCACCAGGCUGUGCAAUGUUGUGUGAUGGCCUGCUGUCAGUCCCUGCCACCAAACAGGAAUCACAGAGGUGGCAUUUUCCCAGGUAAAGCUUGUGUUUUAAGGAUACCUACAGAUUAUCUGGCACAAACAGUUACCAAACAUAGAGGAGGGAAGAGUGAACAUGCUGUCCUGAUGAAACCCCAGUUCUGGCAAGCAGCUGACUCCUGAGGUUCCUGGGAUUAUGCAGUGACAGCCUGCCUUCUUCUCUUGACCUGCCUGCCUGAUAUUUGAAGAACAGUGGGUUUUGUUUAGCAGUUUUAGCUGCAUCAGCAAUACAUGACCUUCACAUCCUCCUUCCCAGCAAAUAAACUGUUGCCUUCAUCUGCUGCUUGCAGCUUUUUGGAAUGAUUCUGCAGCUCUCUUCUGGUUUCUAUCAGCACAUUGCUCUUCAGGAGGUCCCUGAGAGCUGCAGAUAAGUAGUUCCUCCUCCUGCAGCCCUGCAGGAAAGGCUGCUGGCUAUGUAAGAACUCUAUAUUUCAUACUUUGUUCAGAGGGAUCUUUUUUGCAAUCAUAAGUGUGCCUCUUAAGCUUUCAGAUGUUGUUAAGAUGGGGAAAAUGUGUCAUUCCUCAGUGUGAAGGCACAUAUUUUCCUGACUAUCCUCAGAGUUCCAAUAUUACUGCUGCAGGACUGUAAAGCUUAUAGUGAGUGUUUAUCCAGCAACUCUCUGCAAAUAAUUUAAGAAUAAAUACUUCAAAAUCCUUUCUACUAAUGUUCCUAAGUCUCAGUGGAAAAAUUUAUUUGAUUUUUUUUUUUGUGGUAGAUCAAACCCACAAAUAUUAUUUUGCAUGAGUUUAUAAAUGUAAUACUUAAAGAGCUCUUAAAGAGUGGCUUGCCUAGCUGGACAUGAAUACAAAUAUCUUCACUCAAGUCAAGAAAAUUCCCUGAAAAGUAUGCUGUUUGAAAGGAUGAAUCAGAAUAAGCCAUCAGUGACCCUAGUGUAAGUCAGAAUUGGAUGACACGGACUUUUUUGCAGAAUGAUGCACAGAAUUUCCUGAAGUUGUUAUCCAUUAUUUAAAAUGCAUGCAUGGGGCAUUGCAAAAGCAAGCUAACUUUUUUGGAAGGCAGUAUUAAAAAACUUCCACAACUACUGGUUUUGUUUCU